UCAAGUUAUUAAGGGUGCAGGGCGGAUGCCUUGGCACUAGGAGCCGAUGAAGGACGUGAUAAGCUGCGAUAAGCUUCGGGGAGUUGCACGUAAACUUUGAUCCGAAGAUUUCCGAAUGAGGAAACUCACUUAGAGUAAUGUCUAAGUAUCGUUAAGUGAAUACAUAGCUUAGCGAGGGGAACCCGGGGAACUGAAACAUCUAAGUACCCGGAGGAAGAGAAAGAAAUUCGAUUCCGUAAGUAGCGGCGAGCGAACGCGGAACAGGCCAAACCAAUGAAGUUUACUUCGUUGGGGUUGCGGACAUACAACAUGGAUGCAAUAUCGUAAAUGAAGAGAGUUGGAAAGCUCCGCCAUAGAAGGUAAUAGCCCUGUAGUUGAAACGAGAAAGCUACUAGUAUGAUCCAGAGUACCACGGGACACGUGAAACCCUGUGGGAAGCAGGAGGGACCAUCCUCCAAGCCUAAAUACUACCUAGUGACCGAUAGCGCAUAGUACCGUGAGGGAAAGGUGAAAAGAACCCCGGGAGGGGAGUGAAAUAGAACCUGAAACCCUGCACUUACAAGCUGUGGGAGCACAUUACUUGUGUGACCGCGUACUUUUUGUAGAACGGGCCAACGAGUUACGUUAAGUAGCAAGGUUAAGCACUUAAGGUGUGGAGCCGUAGCGAAAGCGAGUCUUAAAUGGGCGAUUAAGUUACUUGGCGUAGACCCGAAACCGGGCGACCUAUCCAUGAGCAGGUUGAAGCAGGGCUAGCCUCAAGCGUAGAGAAACGGAGGUAGAGCACUGAAUGUCCUAGGGGGUAUUGCACUUACCGAAGACUAUCAAACUCCGAAUGCCGUUUUCUUUUACUUGGGAGUCAGACUGUGGGUGAUAAGAUUCAUAGUCAAAAGGGCAACAGCCCAGAUCGUCAGCUAAGGUCCCUAAAUGUACGUUAAGUGGUAAAGGAUGUGGGAUUGCACAGACAACCAGGAUGUUGGCUUAGAAGCAGCCACUCAUUUAAAGAGUGCGUAAUAGCUCACUGGUCGAGUGAUCCUGCGCCGAAAAUUUCCGGGGCUAAAACGUACUACCGAAGCUACGGCAUCAUUUAUGAUGGGUAGGGGAGCUUCGUAUGCAGGCUGAAGCAUGACCGUAAGGACAUGUGGACAGUAUACGAGUGAGAAUGUUGGCAUGAGUAGCGAGACGUGGGUGAGAAUCCCACGGGCCGUAAACCCAAGGUUUCCAGGGGAAGGUUCGUCCGCCCUGGGUUAGUCGGGACCUAAGCCGAGGCCGAAAGGCGUAGGUGAUGGACAACAGGUUGAUAUUCCUGUACCGCCAAUAAGCGUUUGAGAGAUGGAGUGACACAGUAGGAUAAGCUAACCGUACUGUUGGUUAUGUACGGCUAAGCAUUGAGGCAGUCUAAAUAGGCAAAUCCGUUUAGACAAUGCUAGGAUGUGAUGGGGAAGCCCUUCGGGGCGAAGUAGCUGAUUUCACACUGUCAAGAAAAGCUUCUAUCGAGUUUAAAGGCGCCCGUACCGUAAACCGACACAGGUGGGUGAGGAGAGUAUCCUAAGGCCAGCGAGAGAACUAUUGUUAAGGAACUCGGCAAAAUGACCCCGUAACUUAGGGAGAAGGGGUGCCUGUCUAUGACAGGCCGCAGAGAAUAGGCCCAAGCGACUGUUUACCAAAAACACAGGUUUCUGCUAAGUCGCAAGACGAUGUAUAGGAGCUGACGCCUGCCCGGUGCUGGAAGGUUAAGGGGAUCUGUUAGAGCAAUCGAAGCAGUGAACUUAAGCCCCAGUAAACGGCGGCCGUAACUAUAACGGUCCUAAGGUAGCGAAAUUCCUUGUCGGGUAAGUUCCGACCCGCACGAAAGGCGUAACGAUUUGGGCACUGUCUCAACAAUAGACUCGGUGAAAUUGUAAUCCCGGUGAAGAUGCCGGGUACCUGCGACAGGACGGAAAGACCCCAUGGAGCUUUACUGUAGCUUGACGUUGGGUCUUGGUACUACAUGUACAGGAUAGGUGGGAGACUAUGAAGCAUGGACGCCAGUCUGUGUGGAGUCAUCCUUGGGAUACCACCCUUGUAGUACUGGGAUCCUAACCAUAGGCCUUGAAUCAGGUCUUGGAACACCGUCAGGUGGGCAGUUUGACUGGGGCGGUCGCCUCCUAAAAAGUAACGGAGGCGCUCAAAGGUUUCCUCAGCACGGUCGGAAAUCGUGCGAAGAGUGUAAAGGCAAAAGGAAGCUUGAUUGCAAGACAUACAGGUCGAGCAAGGACGAAAGUCGGACUUAGUGAUCCGGUGGUACCGCAUGGAAGGGCCAUCGCUCAACGGAUAAAAGCUACCCUGGGGAUAACAGGCUUAUCUCCCCCAAGAGUCCACAUCGACGGGGAGGUUUGGCACCUCGAUGUCGGCUCAUCACAUCCUGGGGCUGUAGUAGGUCCCAAGGGUUGGGCUGUUCGCCCAUUAAAGUGGUACGCGAGCUGGGUUCAGAACGUCGUGAGACAGUUCGGUCCCUAUCCGUCGCAGGCGUAGGAAAUUUGAGAAGACCUGUCCUUAGUACGAGAGGACCGGGAUGGACGUACCUCUGGUGUACCAGUUGUUCUGCCAAGGGCAUGGCUGGGUAGCUAUGUACGGAAUGGAUAAGCGCUGAAAGCAUCUAAGCGCGAAGCCAACUUCAAGAUAAGAUUUCCCACCGUAAGGGUAAGACCCCAGGAAGACUACCUGGUUGAUAGGUCGAAGGUGUAAGUGCAGUAAUGUAUUUAGCUUAUCGAUACUAAUAGGUCGAGGACUUGACCAA
rnacentral:rRNA from 1 species